rnacentral:rRNA from 1 species
GGGCUCAUCCCGAGGCCACGCCCGUCUGAGGGUCGGCUAGACCCAAAGCAAUCGUCUCCUAGAAUCGGGACGCGGCAGAGCGAUCGGUUACGGUGUGUGUGCGCGCGGAGAUGCUGGCCCUGUCUUGAUUGACCCUCCUAGCUCCUCUGGAGGCCCGUCAAGCAUGCUCGAAAGGGCCAUCUCUCCGCCGGACAUCCCGUGCACGUGUCAGCCCUGCCGUAUGCGACCCGCGGAGGCGCCCUGGGCUCUCGAGGACUCUUUCGGGUCCCCGUGGCCUCAAAUUCAUGCAGCGCCGUCACUGCUCUUCGAUCCGUUUAGCAUCGACGGCUCCGCCGCACGGCAGGACUCGGAUUGCGUAGCUUUCUCUCAAACGAGCCUGCCUGCAGCUCUUUAAGGCGACCGUGUGUUGUUAUCCGGGUGGAGCGAGCGCUGGUGACGCGCCCCAUUGCGAAAUGACAGGAGAUUUCCUUUCAAAUCUCCGACCUCAGAUCGGACGAGAUUACCCGCUGAAUUUAAGCAUAUAACUAAGCGGAGGAAAAGAAACUAACAAGGAUUUCCCCAGUAACGGCGAGUGAAGCGGAAAGAGCCCAGCACCGAAUCCCUCAGUGUCAUGCUGACGGGAACUGUGGUGUGAGGGACGCCACCAGUCGCACCAGAGGGUACCGAAGUCCUCCUGAUCGGGGCUUCACCCAGAGUGGGUGUAAGGCCUUUGCUGGUACCUCUCGGUGCGGCCGCGAGCGUCUCAGGAGUCGGGUUGUUUGGG